AUUGAACGCUAGCGGGGUGCCUUACACAUGCAAGUCGAACGGAGUGGCGAACGGGCGAGUAAUGUAUCGGAACAUGCCCAGUAGCGGGGGAUAACUACGCGAAAGCGUAGCUAAUACCGCAUACUAUUGGAGCGGCCGAUAUCGCAUUAGCUAGUUGGUGAGGUAACGGCUUACCAAGGCGACGAUCCGUAGCAGGUUUGAGAGGACGACCAGCCACACUGGGACUGAGACACGGUCCAGACUCCUACGGGAGGCAGCAGUGGGGAAUUUUGGACAAUGGGGGAAACCCUGACCCAGCCAUCCCGCGUGUGCGAUGAAGGCCUUCGGGUCGUAAAGCACUUUUAGCAGGGAAGCGGUACCUGCAGAAUAAGCACCGGCUAACUACGUGCCAGCAGCCGCGGUAAUAC
rnacentral:rRNA from 1 species